rnacentral:rRNA from 1 species
AUGGCCGGCCGCAUCUUGGGCGCCGCAGGAGCAAACUGGUUAGCCAGGCCGCCCAAGAUCGACGUGAAGACGCUCUGCCUGCUGUACAUGGUGCUUUUCAUGGCGCUCUGGAUGUCCUCGCUUCGGUGGCCGAGUCCCGCCGGCGCCGGGGUCGGGCCGCGCCGCUACGGCCCGGCCGUGGAAGCCCUGGUCACCUGCCUCUUCUUCACGUUCGUCACCGUCCUGCUGCAGGCGCUGCUCGCCAUCGCGCUGUCGGAGAAGCCGGCGCCGACGGCGCUUCCGCCUCCCGUGAGCCAGUGGAUGAUGGGCAUAAGCGUGUGGAUGUCCGGCGUCCUGUUCUACCUGAUCUACGCCUCCAUGGCCCGCGGGCAUGCGGCAGAGUCGAGCCACUCGGAGCUGAUCAUCGCCGGGGCCGCCAGUGUUGUGAGCCUCGCCAUGACCGUCUACAACAUGCUGCAGCGCCCCGUCUUUGCUUAG